CUACAGUCAUAACCAGGCUCCUCUCCUCACAGGCCCAGUGUGGAGUGACUUAACAGCAGCCCCCUUAGGACUGUACACAGCCUGUUGCUUCUAGGAGUUGCCCUGAGGGACCUUGGGAACAGCU
rnacentral:snoRNA from 1 species